UCUGCAAGCUAUAUGUACAUGGUCUCGAGUUGAGGUAGUAGGUUGUAUAGUUGAGAAUUACAACACAUUUUAUGGAGAACUAUACAACUUGCUAGCUUUCCUUGUAGCAUGUGUGACAACAAAUUGCAGGC
rnacentral:pre_miRNA from 10 species